CAGCCGCCGCGGUAAUACGUAGGUGGCAAGCGUUAAUCGGAAUUACUGGGCGUAAAGCGUGCGCAGGCGGUUCUAUAAGACAGAUGUGAAAUCCCCGGGCUCAACCUGGGAACUGCAUUUGUGACUGUAGAGCUGGAGUGCGGCAGAGGGGGAUGGAAUUCCGCGUGUAGCAGUGAAAUGCGUAGAUAUGUGGAGGAACACCGAUGGCGAAGGCAAUCCCCUGGGCCUGCACUGACGCUCAUGCACGAAAGCGUGGGGAGCAAACAGGAUUAGAGACCCCCGUAGUCCCUGUCUCUUAUAC
rnacentral:rRNA from 1 species